GACGAACGCUGGCGGCGUGCUUAACACAUGCAAGUCGAACGGAAAGGCCCUGCUUUUGUGGGGUGCUCGAGUGGCGAACGGGUGAGUAACACGUGAGUAACCUGCCCUUGACUUUGGGAUAACUUCAGGAAACUGGGGCUAAUACCGGAUAGGAGCUCCUGCUGCAUGGUGGGGGUUGGAAAGUUUCGGCGGUUGGGGAUGGACUCGCGGCUUAUCAGCUUGUUGGUGGGGUAGUGGCUUACCAAGGCUUUGACGGGUAGCCGGCCUGAGAGGGUGACCGGCCACAUUGGGACUGAGAUAAGGCCCAGACUCCUACGGGAGGCAGCAGUGGGGAAUAUUGCACAAUGGGCGGAAGCCUGAUGCAGCAGCGCCGCGUGCGGGAUGACGGCCUUCGGGUUGUAAACCGCUUUCGCCUGUGACGAAGCGUGAGUGACGGUAAUGGGUAAAGAAGCACCGGCUAACUACGUG
rnacentral:rRNA from 1 species